rnacentral:lncRNA from 1 species
UUAAAUGGGAGGUUCCAUUAGAAGAUUUAGCAAAGAAGGUACUCUUACAGUGAUUACAUUAUGCCAUCAAUUCAUCUUUGUUAUACCUUAUUAAAUUUUUUCAUACAACUAUUUAGAUGAUGUCUUAAAUGGGAGGUUCCAUUAGAGGAUUUAGCAAAGAAGGUACUCUUACAGUGAUUACAUUAUGCCUUCAAUUCAUCUUUGUUCCCCCACCUUUGAAGUAGUAGACUUUUGACGUUUGAGAGCACUUUCAUAUUCAUUAAACCCAUCGUCCACAAGUAUUGGAGUGUUCGAAUUAGCCAUUGUCAUAAAAACCCAAGUCUUGAAAUCGUAAAAACUUAAUUAAUAUAUAGGAAAAAAAAUAAAAAAAUAGAAUUAAAAUUUAAAGACAUAUAUGGUUGGCUGUGGAAAAACUCAAUUAGUAAAAACUCAAGUCCUUUUUAGAAGGGGCACCCAAGGCAAUGCUCCAAAAGAGAAAAUAUAUUUUAAGCAUAACUCUCCACUUGCUUUCGCAGCGAAAAUAUGGUAUGCAUAAUCUUUAACCAUGAAGAAGGGAAAAGUAGUUGUUAUAUCUCUAUUAUUUACUUAUACAUAAGCUGUACACAUACUUAAAAAAAAAAAAGAAGAAGCAUAUCAUCCCACUACUUUAGUGUGUGUUACUUGAAAUUCUUUGCUAUCCAUUUUGGUGUUUUCUACUAAAUGGUAAAGCCAUCAAUACUUACACAGCAAAUUGACAAACAUGAAAUGAACCAAGAAAACUCGAGCAGAAUUUUUUAAAAUAAGAAUAACCAAGGUUGGUCAAAUAUUGGAUGAUAUAUGUGCAAUUAAUUGAAUUAAAAAAAAUCAUGAAGAUACAAGUGAAUUAGGAAGGAUAACAACAAGAAAUGAAAAUUCAUAUUGCCCAGUUCAACUUUUUCAUCUGAAAAGCAACAACUUGUUUCAUUCCACCUAGAUUAUGGUAUUGGAAAGAAGUGAAAAACAUCAUGUUAACUUAAAAUUAAAGGAAUAAAACCAACCUUUACCUUAUAGAACUUUCCUUCCUAAUUGGUCUUAUACUUGCGUACAAUUUUUAGACCCCAAGGACCUAAUCCUCUGCAUACAGAAUCGUCUAGAAAACACAAAGCAAUUAAUAAACUAUUUCAUUCCAAAAGCAAUCAAUGAAACUAAAUACAAAACCAAACAAAUCAAAUUGGAAUAAGAGAACUUUGACAACAAUAUAAACAGAGGAGACCCACAAAAUUAUUCCAACAACAAUUUUUAAGGUAGAAGCAAUAACCAAAUAAGAGCCGAUGGAGGGAUAAGAUUUUAGUUCUUAAUAGCAAUAGGUUACCAAGUUUUUCCUAACAUUUGUGACUCCCUUCUACUGAACCCAAAAAGUUGUUUUAUUUAUGGUGAGGGUUUUUUUAGGUUUAGAAUGCUUUAGGGAGAAUGUUGGUCGAGUCAAAGUUUUUGGGGGUCUAAAAUAAAAACGCAUAAGCAAAAGAAAAAUUGAGAAAAGGGAAGAGAAAAUUGACCAGAGCAAUGGAGGAAACUAAACCAGUGGGAAACUGAGAGGGGAAGGGAAAUUCCUAAUCUAAGUUACCUUUGGGUUCUCAGUCUUGCUACAACAAUGGUGAACGAUGACGAACUAGUGGGUAUGUAGUGGAACGGUGGUGACUGGAGUGGUGAACGAUGAUGGUGGUGGCUGAUGGGUGGUGGAGUGGAGAAUGGAUUUAGAGUUGUUACUGUUAAGGAUUAGAAAUAGAAAUUUGGGGGGAGGGUUGGUUGAGGAAAUCAUGAAAAUAAAAGAAAGGGUAUAGAGUAGACUUGUUAAGCUUGGCUCGAGCCAAAAAGACCUUAAUCGAGGUCUGACCUAUUUUGAAAAUGGACCUUAUUUUUUGUUCAAGUUUAUUUUUCAGAAAGUAUAUUUUUGCUCAAAUUUUCCCUCUUUUUGGGUCUUGGUUAGGUGGGCGGCCUAUGAUCAGAUCUAUUUACAUGGCAUUAUAAAUAUUUUUUUAAAAAUUUAUUUUUAUUUUUGGAUGCUUAAUUUUUUUAAAAUUUCAUUUAAUUCAUCUAAAUUAUAAAAAAUUUGAAAUUUAAUCACUAACAUUUAUAAAAUAAUUAAUAUUUUAUCUUGACAUUUUUAUUUUUUCAUAUUCCGGUUAUAAGUUUUUGAUUGGUUGAUAUAGUCUAUAGUAAGUACUUUUAAAUGUAUUAAAUAAAUUGUCUUAAAAAGACUAAAUUAUUUUUCAAAAAAAAAUUUAAAGGGUAUAAUUACA